CGCAGGGACCGGCACCGCAGCGUCCUCUGCGCCCGCGGGGAGCGGGCCAUUGGAGUCCGGGGCUGGAGCUUGACUCCAUCCCCUCUCCGCAUCUGCUACGAUCCUGAUUUCUAGGUAGCUCUUUGCGGCAUUUUAGUCGGAACCUGCAACUCCCUCCUUGACAAGCUCGAGGUUUUUGCGCCCUCAAGUCGCUAAAGAAGCUUUUUCCAUCUUGGAGUUUGUACUUCAGGUCUUGUGGAGAAUUGGAAGCUUGUGAUAGUGGGGAAUGAAAGCUUUAAUCAGUGAGUAAGUACCUAAACUAAGACAUCACUGCUGGAUGUAACCCCUGUGGGGUAAGGCAUGGUUUGCAAUUUUAAUCAGCCAAUAAAUAAUUCAUGCAGAGUAUUAAUACCUAAAUCAACUGUCUAAUUUAUGUAUUUUUAUUUUGAUUAUUCUCUGUGUUCUACUUGGCAAGUCACAGGGAAGUAUUUCAGCAACAGCAGGUCAACAACACGGUGGAAAUUUCCUCAAAGGCUCCAGCUCCAACCAAUCCUGAAUGGAAGUGUGAGUGAGGUUCAUGGAAGGAAUACUCUCCUUUAAACAUAAAGAGGAAUUGGGUUCUUUCAAUAGAGCAAUAAUGGAGAUUAAAGGGUUAAUUCAAAAUGUCAGGCUAAGAAUUAGAAGUUGUAGAAGUGUAACUUGCAUUAUUAUAGACAAUACUUUUUGACUUCUCAGUCACAAUUAAUUCGGGGGGUAGGGGAAGGAAACCAUGUGUAAAGAGCACCCUUUGUAAUACUCUGGCUCAUGAGAUGGCAUCAGGAGUCACUGCCAACUUCACGAGACAGAAGAGAGCAGGGAAUGUGCCAGUCACCGCACAGAUCCUCCUCCCCUCCAGCCCGGCAUCAUUAGGGGCAGUGACACCACUCCCUCAGGGAGAGCUUUUGGAGGAGCAGCUCUAACUCAGCAUGUUACUGGAGUGCACUUCAGGGCUGUUCUUAGAACACAGCACAAGAGCCAAUUCGUUGCUGUUAAACUUUUCAGAGCUAAGUGAGAGCACAGAGCACGGAAAAGCACAUGUAAAACAUUGUUUUAUAAUUCUGGUAGAAAUAAGGUAAAGAUUUCGUAGGCUAC